UUUAAAGAGAGUUUGAUCCUGGCUCAGGACGAACGCUGGCGGCGUGCCUAAUACAUGCAAGUCGAACGAACGGAGGAAGAGCUUGCUCUUCCAAAGUUAGUGGCGGACGGGUGAGUAACACGUGGGCAAGCUGCCUGUAAGUUGGGGAUAACUCCGGGAAACCGGGGCUAAUACCGAAUGAUA
rnacentral:rRNA from 1 species